rnacentral:rRNA from 1 species
UACGAAGGGGGCUAGCGUUGUUCGGAAUUACUGGGCGUAAAGCGCACGUAGGCGGAUACUUAAGUCAGGGGUGAAAUCCCGGGGCUCAACCCCGGAACUGCCUUUGAUACUGGGUAUCUCGAGUCCGGAAGAGGUGAGUGGAGUUCCGAGUGUAGAGGUGAAAUUCGUAGAUAUUCGGAGGAACACCAGUGGCGAAGGCGGCUCACUGGUCCGGUACUGACGCUGAGACACGAAAGCCAGGGGAGCGAACGGG